rnacentral:rRNA from 1 species
AUUGAACGCUGGCGGCAGGCUUAACACAUGCAAGUCGAGCGGGGUGAUGGUGCUUGCACUAUCACUUAGCGGCGGACGGGUGAGUAAUGCUUAGGAAUCUGCCUAUUAGUGGGGGACAACAUCUCGAAAGGGAUGCUAAUACCGCAUACGUCCUACGAGAGAAAGCAGGGGAUCACUUGUGACCUUGCGCUAAUAGAUGAGCCUAAGUCGGAUUAGCUAGUUGGUGGGGUAAAGGCCUACCAAGGCGACGAUCGGUAGCGGGUCUGAGAGAAUGAUCCGCCACACUGGGACUGAGACACGGCCCAGACUCCUACGGGAGGCAGCAGUGGGGAAUAUUGGACAAUGGGGGGAACCCUGAUCCAGCCAUGCCGCGUGUGUGAAGAAGGCCUUAUGGUUGUAAAGCACUUUAAGCGAGGAGGAGGCUCUUUUGGUUAAUACCCAAGAUGAGUGGACGUUACUCGCAGAAUAAGCACCGGCUAACUCUGUGCCAGCAGCCGCAGUAA